GGAGUUGUGGCUCAGAGGUAGAGCGCUCACCUCCCACGUGCGAGACCCUCGGUUCGAUUCUCAGCACCA
rfam:Ictidomys tridecemlineatus contig003279, whole genome shotgun sequence.